rnacentral:lncRNA from 1 species
UCGAAGCUCGUCUACUCCCACGUCUCGGAAUCAAACCCCUAGAACCACUCAAAACACAUAACCAACAGACCCUUUUCAAAUCUUUUUUCUUUAACCGAGAUAAAUCACUACAAGCACUAAAGAUGCAACCUUUAAGCUAAAUAGCAACAAACAAAAUUGCUUUUCAAAUUAAACAUACCCUCUUCGAAUUCUUCCUUCUUUAACCUAAAAAAAAUUAACAUAAGCAAUAAAGAUGCAAUCUUUAAUCUAGAACACAAUCAAGAAAGCACACUGAACAAUAUAAAGACACAAUUUUUAUAGCAAAAUUAGCGAGAAAAAGAGUGGUGACAAGUGGGAUUCAAGCCAGGGCCAAGAACACGAAGAUCAGCGAGGUGAUUUGAGCCCGAUGGUGAUAAAA